GGAGGAAAGCAGCCGAGAAUCUGGAACAAGGACACGAAGAGAAGGUGUGGGACUAAAGUUCUGAGGAGAAGCAGGAUUUUAGAGAGUAUUACACAAUCCUGAAAACUUUUAUCAGGCUGCCUUGUGUUUGCACCACCCGAACCUGCUGAUGUGCCCUGCUGUGGUCUGGUACAUACUCCAGAAGGAAUUGCUUUUGGAGUGGUCUCCAUGCUCAAUCUAUUUGUAAUCUACACCUUGAGCAAGGCUGCCCUUAAUCCUCAGGAAACCACAGAAUGAAAUGUUGGCUUUGGGCACAUUGGGGACUACAGUUACAUGAGCCACUUGUGUUUCAGAGCUUACUUUUGCUUUAGAGUUUGAAAUGCCACAGGAAACACCAAAACAACCAUUUACUGUCACAGGAGACUCCAAUUUUUCUACCUUGAACUUGUCCAGGUUCCAGCUUUUCUAAUCUAAUUAUUACAAGAUCCAGAGUGCUCCAUUAUGAAGCUACUAAAAUUGGUCUCUCCUGCUUGGCUUUGCUGAAAUGCCAUGGCUCUGGACAGAGCUGCACCUUCUGCCCUGAAAAACCCUUGGUGGAACCACCUCGAGGGUCCUUUCUACAAUUUCAGUCAGAGAUUCCUCACUGGAAGUUCUUGGAGCAGGAUCAGCCCACAGGACUCCCUGCCUCUCU